CUGAUCCUAGGAAGGUUUAGCUUGGAUUUUAGGAAGUUACAAUAAGCACUUGCUGUCGCAAUUCAGCGUGAGGGAGUUUUAGCAAAAGCAAGUCUCAAAGCGGCCUGGGUACAUUGCAGGCCUUGAUUCUCUAUGGGAGAACCUAUCCAUGGGAGUGGGUCCUGUGCAUCUUUGAGUGGGAACUGGGCCCACGCCAGGCAGAACGGUCUCCUACAAUGG